rnacentral:rRNA from 1 species
GAUGAACGCUGGCGGUGUGCCUAAUACAUGCAAGUCGAGCGAACGGACGAGAAGCUUGCUUCUCUGAUGUUAGCGGCGGACGGGUGAGUAACACGUGGAUAACCUACCUAUAAGACUGGGAUAACUUCGGGAAACCGGAGCUAAUACCGGAUAAUAUUUUGAACCGCAUGGUUCAAAAGUGAAAGACGGUCUUGCUGUCACUUAUAGAUGGAUCCGCGCUGCAUUAGCUAGUUGGUAAGGUAACGGCUUACCAAGGCAACGAUGCAUAGCCGACCUGAGAGGGUGAUCGGCCACACUGGAACUGAGACACGGUCCAGACUCCUACGGGAGGCAGCAGUAGGGAAUCUUCCGCAAUGGGCGAAAGCCUGACGGAGCAACGCCGCGUGAGUGAUGAAGGUCUUCGGAUCGUAAAACUCUGUUAUUAGGGAAGAACAUAUGUGUAAGUAACUGUGCACAUCUUGACGGUACCUAAUCAGAAAGCCACGGCUAACUACGU